CAACCUGAGAGUUUGAUCCUGGCUCAGAGCGAACGCUGGCGGCAGGCCUAACACAUGCAAGUCGAACGGACCCUUCGGGGUUAGUGGCGGACGGGUGAGUAACACGUGGGA
rnacentral:rRNA from 1 species